rnacentral:rRNA from 1 species
AACGAACGCUGGCGGCAGGCCUAACACAUGCAAGUCGAACGCUCGUAGCAAUACGGGAGUGGCAGACGGGUGAGUAACGCGUGGGAACGUACCCUUUGGUUCGGAACAACUCCGGGAAACUGGAGCUAAUUCCGGAUGAGCCCUACGGGGGAAAGAUUUAUCGCCGAAGGAUCGCCCCGCGUCGGAUUAGCUAGUUGGUGAGGUAACGGCUCACCAAGGCGACGAUCCGUAGCAGGUCUGAGAGGAUGAUCAGCCACACUGGGACUGAGACCCGGCCCAGACGCCUCGGGGAGGCAGCAGUGGGGAAUAUUGGACAAUGUGCGCAAGCCUGAUCCAGCCAUGCCGCAUGAGUGAUGAAGGCCUUAGGGUUGUAAAGCUCUUUCGCCAGGGACGAUAAGGACGGUACCUGGAUAAGAAGCCCCGGCUAACUUCGUGCCAGCAGCCGCCGCGG